rnacentral:lncRNA from 1 species
GAGUCGGGGGUAUGAAAUUCACCUCGAUCGGCGGUCGAAAAUCUCCCCGGUGUGGCGGCGGGUGGCGGCGGCCGGCUUCUCUGGCGUCUGGUUCGUCUUCUCCGGCGAGGGCAGGCGGCUAGGGUUUUUGUGGUCAGGUGUGGGGGUUCUAUUUAUACCCUUUUGCCUUUUGAUCUCAGCCGUCCAUUUUGAUUUAAUCUGCGCCGUCCGUGCGCACGCUUGAUCUGGGCCGUUCGAUCGCGCGUACGCGGAUCGCCAACGUGGCCCGUCCCCGGUCGACGUGGUUUUGCCACGUGGCAGGUCCUGGUUGGCCAGGACUGCUGACU